rnacentral:rRNA from 1 species
UACGGAGGAUGCAAGCGUUAUCCGGAAUGAUUGGGCGUAAAGGGUCCGCAGGUGGCAGUGUAAGUCUGCUGUCAAAGAAUGAGGCUUAACCUCAUCAAGGCAGUGGAAACUACACAGCUAGAGUACGGUCGGGGUAGAAGGAAUUCCUGGUGUAGCGGUGAAAUGCGUAGAGAUCAGGAAGAACACCGGUGGCGAAGGCGGCAUCCUGGACCGGUAUUGACGCUGAGGCGCGAAAGCUAGGGGAGCAAACGGG